CCUACGGGUUGCACCAGUGGGGAAUAUUGGACAAUGGGCGAAAGCCUGAUCCAGCCAUGCCGCGUGUGUGAAGAAGGUCUUCGGAUUGUAAAGCACUUUAAGUUGGGAGGAAGGGCAGUAAGUUAAUACCUUGCUGUUUUGACGUUACCAACAGAAUAAGCACCGGCCAACUUCGUGCCAGCAGCCGCGGUAAUAUGAAGGGUGCAAGCGUUAAUCGGAAUUACUGGGCGUAAAGCGCGCGUAGGUGGUUCAGCAAGUUGGAUGUGAAAUCCCCGGGCUCAACCUGGGAACUGCAUCCAAAACUACUGAGCUAGAGUACGGUAGAGGGUGGUGGAAUUUCCUGUGUAGCGGUGAAAUGCGUAGAUAUAGGAAGGAACACCAGUGGCGAAGGCGACCACCUGGACUGAUACUGACACUGAGGUGCGAAAGCGUGGGGAGCAAACAGGAUUGGAUACCCCUGUAGUC
rnacentral:rRNA from 1 species